GUGAUCGGAGGUGUGACUGGUCUUGGAUAUUCUGCUGGUUUAUACCUGGGCAUUCUGCUGAAGGAUACACCAGCUUGUCCUUGUUGGAGGGGAAAUCUGAAAUCAGAAAGGAUAAGUGACUCAUCCAAGUUCAACAGCAGGACAUGAAGU